rnacentral:rRNA from 1 species
UGCGUAGGCGGGCUAAUAAGUCAGUGGUGAAAUCUCUCGGCUCAACCGGGAAACUGCCAUUGAUACUGUUAGUCUUGAGUUCGGUUGAGGUAGGCGGAAUGUGUAAUGUAGCGGUGAAAUGCUUAGAUAUUACACAGAACACCAAUUGCGUAGGCAGCUUACUAGCCCGACACUGACGCUGAGGCACGAAAGCGUGGGGAGCGAACAGGAUUAGAUACCCUGGUAGUCC